ACAGCGGGUCCUGGGGUAGGAGCCUCGGUUACCGGCGGGCGCUCAGGAUUUGUGCUUUGCAGCCUUUACUUGUACUGAGUAGGCCUAAACUGGCCUAGGCUUUGUACCCAGUCGAGAGCACCGGCGGUAAGCUGCUCUUCCCCAAAAGUGGGCUCAUCAGCCGUUGGGGCUAAGUGAUGAGCUGCAAAAAGAAAGCGCCACCUUGGCUCUCUGGCUUCUGCAGGUAGAGUUAGGGAUUCCUGGGCUUGGUGCGGGAGUCCUGAGCCUGGCCGCUGUCUCCAGUUGCGUGUUCACCUCACAUUCUCUCAAGCCAACUCCCUAUGGAUGCAUAGACUAAUUUCGCAUUAUUUGAAGGGUUCCCAUCGCAAGUACACAGGGACAUUUGAGCUCUUCAGGAAGGUACUCUUCUCUGAAGGCUGUGACGUGAGUCUGUAUUCUAGGACAUAUUUAAGAGAUUGCACAUUGAAAGGGCAGAAUAGGGGUCUCGAUUUCAGGUUUUGGGUAAGAGUGGAUCAAAAGGGGAGAACAUGGUCCCCAGGUCGGCAGGUUGAGCUCCCAUCGUAGGAAAUGGCUUAGCCAGUUUCCGGUGAGUCCUGGGGCGGGGGUGUUGGCAGGGCUGGCGGACUCCAGUCCACGUGGGACUCCAAUGGUCGUGCAGGUCUCAGAUGACAGCUCUUCUUAGUCUUCCUCCCUGUUUGCACUCGGAAGAGGACGGAACUUACCUUGUUUUUUUUUAGCGCAGGUGUCAGACUGAAAACAUUCAUUACCGUCAUUGAGACAUCACACGUGGAGAAAGAACCGGAAUAAACUUAGUUUGUAACGUUGCCAUUUGCUCUCAUAUGUCAGAAGGAGAGAAGUAGUUCAGUACUGUGGUCUUUCCUUCCUUGGAUUGUCACAUGUUUUUGUGUCAGGGUCACAGCAGUUUCUGCCUAGGGCCUGGACCUGUAAUACAGGGUGUGCGUGCACUCUGUACUUUGAGAGCUGGUGGGAGUCCACCUUGGUACCUGACAUCUCAGGCCCAGCAAUGGCCAAGCAGGCCCCGGAACCUGGGGGCGUUGCUGUCAGUCCUCUCUCCCCUCUGCCUGCUGGAAGAUGAUGAGCUUUAACUCACCAGUCUGAGUCCUCUAAACUGCAGGAAAUUUCCCUGACUGUCUCUCAAAGGAAAAUUUCACAGCGAUGUUGAAAUCUAGUGGGGAACAGGAUGACAUUUGUGUCCUGUAGCUGUAAGGGCUGCACCCACGACAGUCUCAAAUCUUCCUAUUUGGCAGAUGGGCAUAAACUGAGUCCAUCAAUACCUGAUAGCAAUUUAAAAUGUAUGUUUUGACAUUUUAAAUUUUCUGUAUCUAAAUCAUUCUCUACUAACAGAUGAGGGUUAAAGGGUAACGAAGAACAAGGUAAAUAAGUACACUUCCUCUAAUACUUAGCUUCUACAUGGCUAGUUUGAUUGCAGGAAGUCUACCUUGAAAGUAGAGUUUUUAGGGAAAAUCCAUGUCUGGCAGCCAUCCAGUUGGGCCCUAGUCUCAAGUGGAAUGCAGGCAGACUUCCCAGCUCCCUAGCAUGGAUUUAAGCAGCACCCAAAUGUUUUGGCUUUAGAAUUACACAUCAAGAUAGAGACGAUGGGACUUUAGAUGCUCAUUUGAAAAAUACACACAGGUACAGGACAAGCCUCAGUUCAGGUAAAGAAGCCAGACAAACCCAAUCAUCCUUCACAAGAUCUCAAAUCGGAGCCUUUGACAAGAUUACUUUCCUGGAAUUGCUACCAGGAGAUAACUGGCUAAACAGGCAUUCCAGAAGGUAAACUUGUGAAGAGCUUGGCACCAAGGAGAGCGCACAGGAGGACUGGCAGAUUAUGUUACAGAAGCCCCAGUUGGGGACCUCAUGCCACUGACCAUCUGGCCCAAAGCAACUUGGGCACUGCCCCAGGCACCUCUGGUCACUUCCUCUCAGAGCUGUCACAGGAAUUCUGACCCUCUUGGACAUGGAUUAAUAACUUGUCAACAAGAAUGACUCUAGGAAUGGAGCUCUUACAUAUCCAGGCUUCUUUCUGGCCCCUAAACCGAGGAAGAUGGCAGUACCAAAGAGCACAUUGGCCCAGAAGAAACACUGCGCUUAAAAGAUGAGUAGCCUUUACCUGCUAAUCAGUAAUGGCGGUCCCUGGGCCAGGGAGACACACGUCUUUUUGCAGUGCCAGGGUGAGUGAGUCUAUUGAAUUGUUGCUGAACAGGCAUCUUAUAAAAGAUGCUAGUCUCCAGGAGGAACUGAGGUAGGCCCAUGACAGUUGCAGGUAUAUCCACCUGAACACCUAUCUGUGUGCGGCUGAACUCUCAAGAGUGCUGUGUAUAACCCUCAAGCUUUCUCAGUUAACUCCUGCCUUCCAGGAACUUUCAGGAAAAGGCCCAAUCCUCCUGAGUCCAGAUCUCUAGGUGGGUGACUAGGACCCUGACAAGUACUCAGGGAAGGUUUUCACAUUGUGCUCCACUGAGGCUCUGGUUGUAUGGAAAUGUUAGAAUAUUGAUUGUUUGAUCCUUGAAAAAAGGAGAAAGUAAGGUUUUUAAGCAAUGACAAACAUGGUUCAUUUUUAAUUCUGCCUUUGGUGGUGGGGGGACAGGUGUGUGUGUGUGUAGAGAAAAACCAUGUAGUAAAAUCUGGCCCUGUUGAUAUCACCUUGGCCUCUUUGGAAGAGGACUUGUCAUUCAGGUUCACUAUUUCUCCUGGUCAUCCUUUUCUUCUCUGGGCCUCUGUCUCAGUCUUUUCAUGGCCUUCUCUUCUCUGUCAGUAUUCCUGGUUUUCUCCAUGCUGGCCUUGGCCAUCUUUUUUCCUUGCAACUCAAAAUCAUCGACCACCUGCUUUCCAUAUUUCUGCCUUUGUUAAGUGCUCCCAAAUCAGUAUCUUCUACUAAGACCCAAUCCUGAGCUGUACACCAAUUUUUCACACCACUCAGUGGGCAGGUCCCUCGGGUUGUAUAAUAGGCAGUUCCGACUCAAUUCCAAAGCUGUAUACCUCAUCUUGCUUCCCAGGUCUAUUUGUUCCCAUCCAUACCUUCCAUUUACAGACAGAUACCUACAUUCCCCUUAGCUGUUCAGAUUAGAAGUUCCUUCCUUUUUCCCUUUGUCCUAAACUGUGCUUUCCUUCCAUCCAUUCAUGACUCCUGUCUUAAUCGAUACCCUCACAGGCUGUGGUCUAGCAGAUUAAAUAUACAGGCUGGUCUCUGUAUCGGCCUGAUGGCUAUCUUUUUAAAAAAUGCCACUGGGUGUGGUGGUGCAGGCUUGUAAUCCCUGCACUUGGUGGGUGAGGCAGGCAGGAGGAUUGUCUUGAGUUCCAGGCCAGCCUAGACUAUAUAGUGAGACCCUGCUUCAGAAAAUUUGAAAAAAAGCCUAUUAUUCUCAUGCUUAAAAAUUUUUCACCACCUUCUCACUUCUUUCAGAAGGAAAUUCACUUUCCUUUCUUGGCAGUUCAGAGCAGUAAAUGUGGAUCCCUAGGAAGGAUUCAGGAGCCAGACAAACCCCCAAGUUUGAAUCCUGGCCUUGUCCUAAGAUCAAGUAUAUGAGCUCAGGAAGUAAAUUUCUUUCUUUCUUUUUUUUAAGGAAGUAAAUUUCUAUAGGCCUUACUUUUCCCAUUUGUAAAAUGGGCACAAUAGUAAAUUAUCUAUAAUUUUGUUGGGAAAAAUGAUAGUGACAGAUAAUUGUCUAACACAGUGUUGAGUCUAGAAUAAACUUUCAAUUAAUUUUAUUACUAGUUAUUAACCUUUUAAUAGUCAUUAAUUUUUAAAAACAUCCCAGUAAAAUUUAUUGUAAUAUACAUCUAGUUCCUGUGUUUCCUGGAGCCUCCUCAGAUUUCAGAUGCACUUCCAGCAGAACAAGUAUGUUCCAGUCCCAUGCAGCACUUCCAUUUCUUAAGUAGACAGUGUCUUCACAUACUCAAUGUCUUCUGUCCAGAAUGUUCUUGCCUUCUUCGCAAUUCUGAGAGCCUCUUCUUUUUCUGCAAGAUUCAGCCCCAGAUGCCUCCCCCUUCCUUUCUCCUCUUUGCCCUGUCUCUGAGUCCUCCUCCUUCCCUCUACCUCCCUCCCUCCCAUCUGGAGAUCCCUUCCAUUUCCUAACCUCAAGCUGGUAAUAUGGGCAGGGUGAGGAUUUGUCUUCGUUCAUCUCUGUGGCAUUAGCAUUCAAGGAAACAGGCAUACCAUAGAUGCCCAGGAAAUGCUGUGGAAAUGAAUUCACUUGACCUUCUACUCUGCCUUAUGAAAGGAAGUUGGGCACAAAAGGCCCCAUCUUUUGAAGUCCUUAUAGUUACAGAUCAGGAGCAGCCCUGGGCUAGUCCUCUUGGAACAACUUCCGAGGCCCUCAGGGGCGUCCCAGAUACAGGGAGUAGGAAACUGCUUAUGGUCAUGGCCUCUGAGAAGCUCAUGUACCCCUUGUUCACAGGUGGCCACAGUUGGAGCCUUAGGCUGAUCCUAGCAGUAGCAACUGAGAAGGAGUUCACUGGGCUGUGCCCCACCAGCAUCUCCAAUCCUGCUGAAAGCAGAGGACCUGGGGAGGAGGUCCUGUUUCUCUAUCUCCAAAGUGAGGAGAAUCAGCUGUGCUGUCGGGGUUCCUAUGGGAUGUGGUAAGGCGAACAGUCCGUGGGGUUUAUCUAAAGAGAGACAGGAAGAAGAGGGAAGGAUGGGCGGCAGAAGAGAGAAGGGAUGGGAAACAGAAACUUGAGGACAUCACUGCUAUGAAUUGGGAUUUGAGGCCCCUUGGGCGUGGUGGGGGUAGGGCCAGGCUCCUGACCUUUAACCGGAAAAAGGCUCCAAAGAGAAAAGAUUUGGAUCGACAUUUCCUCAUUGUAAAACAGGAUAACUGUUGCAGUGGAUCACCAUGAGGAUGAAAAACAAUUACAUUUAAUAUAAAAUGGUUAGAACAGAGCCUAACUUGUAAUAAAUUGAUACUAAUGACAUCAUUAACGUUGAAAUUACUAUUAAUGACAUCAAUAGUAAUUGAUGUAGCCGGGGAUUUAGCUCAGUGGUUCCACCGCCUGCCUCGCAAGUGCAAGGUCCCGAGUUCGAUGCCUGGUACCAAAAAAAAAAAAAAAAGAAAAAGUAAUUGAUGUAAGUCUGAAUUACAGUCAUCCUUAAAAAAUGAUACAGAACAACUUGUGAAUAAUUUUAAAUGCAUGAUGAGCUUCUACACUGUGUGGCCUAGAUACGAGGACACCAGGGUUCCUAGGUGGCUUAUAGUUCACCUUUCACUCCCAGCCCCAUCUGGUUUCAGAAUAGCUGGUGGGGGGAAUUGGUUCCUCCAGUUGAAUAGAAGAAACUAAGGAGAGAAUGUGGAUCUCAGAGCCAAAAGAUGGCAGAAGUAGAAUUUGAGCCUGGAUCUUGUGUUUUACUUUUCUUUUUUAUUAGAUUCAUUGUUUCAAGAAAGCUAUACAUGCGGUUAUUCCAUAGCGAGAUACAGUGUAUCUUAUUGUAGUUUAGAAGCAGCAGUAGCUCUGAUUUCUGCUGACUCCAAACUUCCAAUGUAUUUUACAUGCACAUUCGGAGACAUGUAAAAUUGAAACAAGCUGCACAAAAUGAUACCUAUUUUUUGUUUGGGAUACACUUUGAUAUUUUCAGUUCUAUUCUGUUACAUGAAAAGAAAGUGCUUGUUUACAUCUUUUAAAGUAAAUUUUACCACUUGCCAAUGGGUUUUAACCUGGAACUAUAAACCACUACAAUAGAGAAAAUUACCAAAACCAAAUGAAAUUACCACUCUGAUUAAAACAUGCUACUGUCUUGUGCAGUAGGAAUCCCAGCAUCCUCAUACCUGGAGGCAGUUUCCAAGUUUGAAGCAAUGGGAACCAGAUCUUUGGGCUUUAUGAAUACUAAUCUGCACUAAUUUGAAGGUGUGCUCUGGUAGGUGGUGAAGAAGGAUGUAGAUUGAAAGAUGAAUUCUGAAGCUUUUCCAGUAGGAACACUUGGGUUGGGGCUGUCAAAUCCAGGCAAAAGAACCAGAAAAAUAGGAGAAUUGUGAGUGAUGACCAGUCCAGAAGGUUGGCCUUGGUCAGUAAUGAGAAAUGGGUUUGUAGUGGUGGGGACUUUGAGGCCAGCUUUCUUAGGGUCUUAAAUGUUAAACUAGUAAGGGAAUAGGUUUUACUCUGCAAACUGUAGGAGGAAAAAUAAGAACAGCUGGUGGAUUAUAGAAGAGGAAGCACAAAAUCUAGUAUUCAUAUGUAAGGAUAUUCAUAAAAUUGAUAAUCAGGGAAAAUAGAUUACUGUGUACUAGAUAGUCCAGCAAAUACUAGAACAUGGAUUAAUGUCAAGGGGUGGCCGAGAUGGAGGGCUUAGGUUCUUGGUGCCCUUCUUGUGAGCUGUGGAUGAGGGCAGCAUUCUGAAGGGCAGAUUGCUACCUCCUAGGCCAGUUAAUUUACACAAAUCACAGGAGCUGGAAUUCUGUUUCUGUGUAUUCAUCUUUUAUGUCUUUUAUCUAGUUGUCCCCCAAAGCUUCAUGCAUUCCUAGGUGGAGCUUUUCAGAGGUGGCUGGUUCUAGGGUAUGUGAUGCUGGGAUUAAGCCUUACAAUGCUGGGAUUAAGGGUGUGUGAUUACUAAAUUAGUCCACUGAUUGGUUAAGCAUAGUUCUGUGUGUGGAUAAUAGGAAGAUCCAUCCUGGAUAUGGGCGGCACCACCCACAAGGCAAGUAGCCUGGAGGGGAUAAAAGGGAAAGGCUUCUGCCUCAUUGCUUGAUGCUGCUUCUGCUGCUUGCUGCUCUGCUGCCUUCUGCCUGCCAUGGACUGUUUCUCCUCUGUGAUGCCCCUCUGCCAGAUGACCCUGCCUUGAAGCCAGCCAUCUAGGAAAUGAAACCUCUACAAACUGUGAGCUACAAUAAACCUUUUCCUCCUUUAACUCUGGAUGUUGGGUAUUUUGUCUUAGCAAUGAGAAAAGUAACUAAGACAUCCAAAAGAAAUUCUCACACAAGUUUAUCAGGAAACAUGACAAAGACAAUGGAACAUUAGAAACAACGUUGGACAUUCAUUACCAGGAAAAAGGAUAAAUAAAAUAUGGUAGAUUCACUCUGUGGUGUACUCUGCAGCAAUAUAAGUUUAUAAUGGACACCUGUCUCAGUCAGUUUGAGGAGCUAUUACAAGAUGUCUUAGGGUAAUUUGUAAACAACAGAAAUUUGUUGCUUACAGGUUUUUGUUUGUUUGUUCACCCAGUACCAGGAUCAAACUCAGGACCUUGUGCUUACAAGGCAGGCAUGGCAGCACUGAGCUACAUCCCCAGCCCUGUUGCUUACAGUUUUGAAAGCUGGGAAAACCAAGGUCAAGGUGCCAGCAAGCUUGUGUCUGGCGAAUCACGGAGGGGCAGGAGGCUGGUGCCACUAUAGCCUGCUAAUACUGCAUGAAGGUGUCUGCUACCAGAAGGGACAGACCGCUCCUUCAGGUCUCUGAUGAGAGGUGCUGAGGAGAGAACAAAGGACAAGGGAACGAGCCACAGCCAUGGGCAGGAGGAAGCUGCCGACUACUGCACAUGGACACUUGCCCGAACCUGGAUGGGGGAAAGGCCAGAAAGGGAUUGUUGAGGCAAAAAGUAAUCAGAGAUGACUCGACGUCCUGCCUGAGUGCCUGGGAGGAGGGCGCCCCCUUCACAGGGCCAGGAGCCGGCAGAAGGAGCCGCUGACGACCUCGCUUCGGGCCACACGGGCAGAGCCUGGAGCUGGCGGGAUCCCCAAGGAGCUGAGGACGCAAGCACCAGGAAGAGCUCGCCAGGCGCGGCCCAAGUGGGCCUCUGAGGACACCGCACCACUUAGGGACCCGAUGGCAACAGGCAGCGGAGCAGAGUUUUAUCCUCAAGUCCGAGGAAAAGAUAUAAUAAGGAAACCGGACCGGAUGACGCCAUGCACUUCCCAGCCCUGACGUUCUACGGUUCUGUUAAAUAAUGUGGCAAAUAGAUGAACAGAUCCUCAGAUUCCCCGGGAUUUGCAAGUCCUACACAAGUAUUUUAGUAAAAGUCAGGACAUCUCAGGGUGUAUCAGAGAAUGUCAUGUUGUUUCAACUCCAUAAACAUCAGUUUCCUCCUUUAUAAAAUGGGAAUAAUGUUUACAUUUGGGUAUUCUGAAGAUCUGAAUACUUUUGAAUAAUACAUUUAACACAGUAUAGCAGUCAUGCCCACUGGGAAGUCAACUUGCUUCUUUAUACUGACUAUAUUUUUCUGGUCUAGCCCUGAAAAUCUGACCCUGCCUUUAUCCACUCUUUCUUCGUUCUCUACAUUCUACGUGGAGACACUCUCUUCUCCCCUAGUGAUUCCAGAGCAUGUAAGAAGCAGGUUCGCGAAAAAUAUAUCGCUUUUGGUGUUUAUGUUACUUGCUGGUUUCACUUUUUCCCCCACACAGGUCUUUUAAUUUGAUCUUUGAAACAUUACUAUGAAAAAGGGAGGAAUCCUCAGUAGCACUAAAGAUGAAGAAAUGUAACUAUGGCAGAAACUUAGAUUUUCCAGGUCAAUAUAAUCCAGACUGUGUGUGUCUGUCUAUCAUCUGAUUAUUUUAGGGAAAAUUAUAUUCAUGCUUAUUUUAAGAAAUUUAAACAAUUCAGAAAUGUUCAAUGAAGAUAGUAAAACCAAUAUCUAUAAAUAAUUCUUAACUUUUUGUAAACAUUCUUCUAAUUCUCUACACAUUUAUACGUAUUUAUAUAUGCUAGUGACAUUUUGCAUAAAUCCUAGUUUGCCUCUAAUCCCAGCAGUCUGGGAAGCUAAUACAGGAGGAUCCCAAAUUCAAGCCCAGCCUGGGCAACUUAACAAGAUCAUCUCAAAAUAAAAAAUAAAAAAGAGGCUAAGGAUGUAGCUUAUGUGAAGUCCUCGGGUUUAAUUUCUAGUGACAGGGCAGGGGCUGGGGGAGUGCAAGUUCAAUUCUUUGAACUCAAGUAGAAAAAUACCAUGUACAUCAAUAGCUAGAAUAUAAAGUACAGAAGGUAUGGGUUCAAAUGAAAAUAAUGUAGUGAAAGCUGACUCAGAAGCAUCUGGCUUGAGUGUCUGGUAAGAUAUUACUGCUAGUCAGAGACGAAAGCCUAGAAAGGGAAAAUAGGACCUUAGUGAGUGGUCCAUAGUGAAGUGUGAAUUGUCAGCAAGAUGCUCAAUGCUUCCAUGACCGCUCUAAUACAAGUAGACCCCUAGGACCGACUAAUCUUUUGUAUGUAUCUAUUCUAGUCCAAGUCCUGAAUUCACUCUGGAAGAGAAAGAGCAGCUGGCUCACAUUAUUUUUAUUAGCAAACUAAAGAGAUAAAAUAGACUAUGCUCUCCACUGUUACAGAUGACUAAAUAUAGCAUUAUAUUCUUUAUUGUUGGAAAUGGUUAAGAGAAAGGCAUAUGUUAAUGCAAAAAUUGUGUUACUUCAUAGUCUGUAAUUUUAAUGUCUUUACAAGGUGUGACGAAAACUAAAUACUGCUGUCACGUGCCAUCCAGUGGAAAGGCAGGCUCAUAAAAACAUUAGUGUGUCCUCAACUACCUUAGUCACUGGAUCUGGCACAUGGGGCUUCUGGCUCUUCCCCAAAGUCAAAAUGAACAUGAAAGGUAAAUGUUUGGAAUCAGUUCAGGACAUGGAGGCAGCCGUGACAGCAAAUUAAAGACACAAAAGAGGACUUUCAGAUCUGCUUCAGAGUGGCAAAAACGAUGGGAUAAGUGUGUUUCAAGCCAGGGGAAUUGAGUCUUACUGUAAAACAUUUUAAAAACUGUAAAUACUAACUAUUGUUUUGAUCAUACUUUGUACAUUGUUUAUGUAACUAUUUUUCUUUCCUGUUCCAAUGAGCUCCACGAGGGUGAAUCUCGCAUCUUUUCCUUGCUGUCAGUAUGCUUGGUAAAGCAACUAGUAUUAAACUUCUCCCACCCAAGUGUUUUUGUGGACCCGCCAAUUUUAAAUCCAAAUCAGGGGAGUUUAGGAGAAAUGAAGUAUUGGCUUGUUGUAUUCUUUGCCCGAUACUUUUGCCUGGUCAAAAUUAAACACUACCUUCUGUAUUAAUGGUGGGCAUGUUCUUAAUAGGCCUCCAUUUUACUAAGCUACUACAGGUCCAA